UACAGAGACUGCAAGCGUUAUUCGGAUUCACUGGGCGUAAAGGGUGCGCAGGCGGCCAAGUGUGUGAGGCGUGAAAGCCCGAUGCUUAACAUCGGAAUUGCACCUCAAACUACAUGGCUAGAGCAUUGGAGAGGGUAGCGGAAUUCACGGUGUAGCAGUGAAAUGCGCAGAUAUCGGGAGGAACACCUAUGGCGAAGGCAGCUCGCUGGGACGUUACUGACGCUGAGACGCGAAAGCGUGGGGAGCGAACAGG
rnacentral:rRNA from 1 species